GCCCUGGUACUCCAAUUGGCAGAGAGCGCGGAUUCAAAACCCGUUCAGUGUGGGUUCGAGUCCCACCCAGGGCACCU
rnacentral:tRNA from 1 species